GGUAUUUACAUAUCUUGGGGAGAUUUAGAGUAUAAACGCUAAGAUCUUUGGUAUUUAAGUGUCAACAUCGAUUUAUUUAUUUAUUGCUGAGCUGACUGUAACUGACUCAAUAACAAAUUUAAUCGUGUAUUGCUCUGGAAAAGGACUAGUCUCAUUGUGUAUUUCUCCAGAUAAUGACCCACAUUGCGUUUGAAUGCCCACUGUGAAUACCAAUAAUAUCAAGUAAUUACA
rnacentral:lncRNA from 1 species